AACUCUGGUCUUCCCUCAAAUCGUCAUAAAUCUUUCGCCCUUUUUACUAAAGAUUUCUGUGGGGGAGCGACCAAAUGAAGAGUGUACUUUAAUUUUUUUAAGGGCCUCAUCAUGGCCG